UAUGCGGACGGCGCAAGCCCGGGGCUGGUAAUCGCCUCUUCUUCGUCGCUAAGGCUGAUCCGUUCGACUCGUGGCUCCCCAGCCAUUAGUCAGCGGGUGUCACGAGGAGGCUCUGCCGGAUGCGCUUCCCCUUUGCCGCGAAGCCGUUAAGGCGGUCGCUGCUGCUGCUGCUGCUGCUUACGUACGCCAUCGCCGGAUCGGUACACGAGGAUCGUCUUCUUCGCGUGCCCCUUCGUCGUGGUUGCCGUAGUAGUAGUAGUAGUAGUAGAGAUCGUCGAAAGCGGUGGCUUUGAACGGGGCGUAUUCGUCGCAUCCUCCUCUGAUCUCGUUUGGCGUAAAGAGUAAAUGGGGGGAGUUCGCUGUAGGAGGCGGUUCGCUGGCGUGAGACUGGCGGCGGGUACCUUGAGCGCACAUACCAGGACCCGAAAGAUGGUGAUCUAUGCGUGGCGAGGAUGAAGCCAGGGGAAACCCUGGUGGAAGUCCGUAGCGAUUCUGACGUGCAAAUCGAUCGUCGGAGCUG
rnacentral:rRNA from 1 species